rnacentral:rRNA from 1 species
AGUGAACGCUGGCGGUAGGCCUAACACAUGCAAGUCGAACGGCAGCACAGUAAGAGCGUGCGCUUACGGGUGGCGAGUGGCGGACGUGUGAGGAAUACAUCGGAAUCUACUUUUUCGUGGGGGAUAACGUAGGGAAACUUACGCUAAUACCGCAGACGACCUACGGGUGAAAGCAGGGGAUCUUCGGACCUUGCGCGAUUGAAUGAGCCGAUGUCGGAUUAGCUAGUUGGCGGGGUAAAGGCCCACCAAGGCGACGAUCCGUAGCUGGUCUGAGUGGAUGGUCGGCCACACUGGAACUGGGACACGGUCCAGGCUCCUACGGGAGGCCGCAGUCGGGAAUAUUGGACAAUGGGCGCAAACAUGAUCCAGCCGUACCGCGUGGGUGAAGAAGGCCUUCGGGUUGUAAAGCCCUUUUGUUGGGAAAGAAAAGCAGCAGGUUAAUACCCAGCUGUUGUGACGGUACCCAGUGAAUAAGCACCGGCUAACUUCGUG